AAAAAUCCGCCUAACGAAUAGCUUCAUUUUACAUCCACGCAUCAGCAACAAUAACAUCCUCCUUCCAUGGAUAUGAUACUUGUCUCAUGUCAAGGUUAUUGAAGUCUGCUAGUCUUCAGUGAUUUGCAGAGCAUUGAACUCUCUCGGGCCAACGUAUGUUUUCCGGAAUUAAAUUAGCUGAUUGGGUGCUGGCUGGUCCCUUUGUAAUCAAGCUGAAUGAUGAAAGACUCAUCACAUACCACCCACCAGAAUCAUUGUCUGACAGACCCACUUGAGUCGCUGGGUCUCCCCAUGCUCACUAAUUCAAAGUCGUCCGUGUGUCAUUGACUCCCUGAUGGACUACUCUGCUACGUGACGGACAUCAGGAAAACUCCAAAAAGCAGCCGUCCUCUGUCAGAGGGCUGAGGGGGGGGGGGGUUAAGGAGUGGGAGGAUGCGAGGAUGCUAGGCGGCGAGGAGGAGGAGGAGGAGGAGGAGGAGGUGGGUGAUGCAUCCUGUAGGUCUGGGAUGACUGUGUGUGACUGACGUUCUUGAUUCAUCAUCCAACAACCUCAUGGGCAGCAAGGAUAUAUAAGCUGGAUCACACCUGCUCAACAAGAACCACUGGAGACCUCCGCCACCUAACC